rnacentral:lncRNA from 1 species
CUCAUGAAGUUCAAGUCAGUACUCAAAAACCUCACAAGUUUCGAUGAUCUGAUCUCAUCUCCAAAACAAACAAAAAAAAACAUUCUGAAAACUUGACUUAUGAUCUGAACUUUUUUUUUUCUUCAGGACGGUGGAGGAGGCGAUAGAGAAGGCCAACUGCACCAAGUACGGGCUGGCUGCCGGCAUUGUGACCAAGAACCUCAACAUUGCCAACAUGGUGUCGAGGUCAGUGCGGGCCGGCACGGUGUGGGUGAACUGCUACUUCGCCUUCGACCCCGACGCGCCGUUCGGCGGGUACAAGAUGAGCGGGUUCGGCCGGGACCAAGGGAUGGUCGCCAUGGACAAGUACCUGCAGGUCAAGACCGUCAUCACCGCCGUCCCGGACUCGCCCUGGUACUGAUAAAUCAAAUCAAGCAGCAGCUAUAGCUAGAGUGUACCAUGUACCAUGAAUGCUGCAGCCUGUGUAGUGUUUUCGGAUGUUUUUCUCCUUAAUUCUGCUGCUGCUUGGUGUGGUUGUAUGUAGUUUGGUUGUGGGGUGAGAUAU